rnacentral:rRNA from 1 species
CACGUAGGGUGCGAGCGUUGUCCGGAAUUAUUGGGCGUAAAGAGCUUGUAGGCGGUUUGUCGCGUCUGCCGUGAAAGCCCAGGGCUUAACCCUGGGUCUGCGGUGGGUACGGGCAGACUAGAGUGUGGUAGGGGAGACUGGAAUUCCUGGUGUAGCGGUGAAAUGCGCAGAUAUCAGGAGGAACACCGAUGGCGAAGGCAGGUCUCUGGGCCACUACUGACGCUGAGAAGCGAAAGCAUGGGGAGCAAACAGG